UGGCGGACGGGUGAGUAACGCGUGGGUAACCUGCCCUGUACAGGGGGAUAACAGCUGGAAACGGCUGCUAAUACCGCAUAAGCGCACGAGGAGACAUCUCCUUGUGUGAAAAACUCCGGUGGUACAGGAUGGGCCCGCGUCUGAUUAGCUGGUUGGCAGGGUAACGGCCUACCAAGGCAACGAUCAGUAGCCGGUCUGAGAGGAUGAACGGCCACAUUGGAACUGAGACACGGUCCAAACUCCUACGGGAGGCAGCAUG
rnacentral:rRNA from 1 species